rnacentral:antisense_RNA from 3 species
AGCUAUGGCGGCUGUGCGCGGGAUACCUUCGGGUAUGCCGGUGUUCUUCCGAACCGGUUCGCCAACCUGCGUACAGCUGCCACCCUA